AACCUCAUUGUCUGUAGUCUCUAGAUCCAUCCUCCAUCAGUUCCUCUUCCUAGUAACUUGUUGAUAAUGCUUGGUGAGAAUUUCACACAUUUACCCCUUACAAACACCUUGCAGAACUCUCUGUUGCUUCUUUCAUAAAUAUCCUUAGGGAUAUUCACAAUAAACUCUUUUUCUAACCCCUCAUAACAUUGGGGUAGAGCAACCACAGUCUUCAUUAG
rnacentral:lncRNA from 1 species